GUCUAGGAUAACUCAGUUGGUAGAGCGUGAGACUCUUAAUCUCGAGAACGUGAGUUUGAGCCCCACGUUGGGUG